UCUCUCUCUAAGAUCCUUCGUCGUUUGUCGUACGUUUCGACGAUCGAAGGUUCCUGCGUGGAUCAAAAGGAGAAACUCUACAACUAUAGCUUAUCAAAUCGUCGUUUUGAAGAUUUUCGGGUUUUCCCCAAAAAUCAAGCUUGCUACUAAAGGAGUUGAAAGAUACUCCAGUAAUAGGAGUUGAAAGAUAUUCCUCAGCUGGAAGGGUACAGUGCAACCACUCAUGUUUAAAAUCAGUGUGGAUACAUAGAUGAUCGGCUAGCAGGUGUAAUGAAAUCACUGGUGAAAUAAUAAACCAGAUGGGGGCAGUCGGACUAUAUAUAGAUACUUAACAUAUGCCUACAUGAACAGGGCAUUGUUGGAGAUAUCAGUGCACAACCCAUGCCACGGGGUAAAUAGGCAAAACAUGUAUGACAAGCUGGCAGUUGUUGUAAUAUUCAUAUGCAUGAUUUAAAUACUUGAUGUACAGAUAAAUGUUAUACGAUAAAGUAUUAUAAACAAAUGUUUCAAAUGUAUGAGUUUGUAUGAAAAUGUGCAUAUAUGCAGUCACAUACUGUUGUAACUC